rnacentral:lncRNA from 1 species
GAAUGGCCAAUUCCUCUGCUCUGGGCUCAAGGUAAGCCAAAAUACGGUAGAAGGGUGUGGAGGAAGAAAGCAGCUCAGGACACAGCAAACAGACAGCGAAGAGCAAACUCUGCUCUGCAGGAACAAAAUACCCCAAAGGCAUGCCCUUAGUUACCUACCUCUUCCAGCCAAACCCUACCUGUCUACAGUUACCCCACCCAUUUAAUCCACCACUGAUAAGAUUAAGCCUCACAUGACUCAAAUCAUUUCACCUCUGAAAAUUCUUAUAUUUUCUCACAUUAGCUUCUAGAGGACACCUCAUAUCUAAACCAUACAGGGGUCUUUGCCCAUUUUAAAAUUUGGAGUGUUUGUCUUAUUGAAUCAUAAGAGUUCUUUAUACUAGGCCCUAGAUAUAUGAAGUGCAAAUAAUUUUUCCCAUUCUUUAAGUUGUCUUUUUGCUUUCUUGAUGCCA